GCCUGACUACAGCGGCCGAAAUAGCUCAGUUGGGAGAGCGUUAGACUGAAGAUCUAAAGGUCCCUGGUUCGAUCCCGGGUUUCGGCAGCUCUCCUUUUCCUUUUUUCUUUCUUUCCACCCGAGCGCGGUGGAAAUAAGCGAGUGGAGAGAAAAAAGGGAGUUUCGCUUUUUUUUGUUUGAAACAGCUCCGAGUUUACCCCGGGAGCCCGAGCGGCUGGAAACCUCUCGGUGCGUCCCGUCUGGGGAAAUCCAACAGGAGCAAGCGUUUCCGUGACCCUCAUUUAUUUUAUGUCGUGAAAGCUGAUUAACUGCCCCGUGUCUGUCGGCUGCUCGUCCAUUCCCGCUGCCUGUGCUCAUUUCUGCUGCGUGAGCGGGCGCAGCGACAUCAAGCCCGCGGUGCUGCGGGAGAAGAUAAGGCGGGCGACCUCCGGGGCAUGUGAAGAGCUAAACUCCUUGAGGGAGAGAUUUUAAAAUAAAAAGUUGGAGAUGCCGGGGAUCGAACCCGGGGCCUCAUACAUGCAAAGCAUGCGCUCUACCACUGAGCUACAUCCCCCGCCCUCGGAGCCCCGCGGAUGCAGGAAGUGGCGGCCUUUCUCCACGUGCACGUGUUCCUUCCUUUCGGGGUGCUCAGCGCCUCCAAGGAUCGGAGCAGGUCCCUCCGCGCAGGGGAGAAGCCCGCCCGCCCCGCGGCGCAGGCGGAGACCACGCGGAGUGAUGAGCGCGGCAGCGGAAGAAGGCGGUUUCUAUAGGAACAGGCGUGGAGGGGCCUUGGCAUGGCUCGUCCUCGUUAGUAUAGUGCGCCUACCCGGAUGCGGCCAUAACAGGUGUAGCUCCUCCUGUCACCACCUGGAGGUGCGGUUUUCCCCACAGUCCGUCCUCAAGCCUGGAACCUUCCAGAUGUGCUUUUGCUGGAGGAGGCGACCGGGAGCAAUGAUGCUGGGAACCACAGCGACCCUGGGCAGAGUGUCCCGCUGGGCAGUGACAGCGCCUGCAGCGAGGCCUGCGGGGUGGGGCUCGUUCCCGGCCGCCGGGGUGAUGUGUACAUCGGAGGUCAGAGGUCUGUGCCGGCCUUGCCCUUCGCCCUCUGUGCUGCCAGCAACAACCUUUUUCAGAGGGAGCCGCCCAAAAGGAGACUGGCUUUCCCAUCAGAGGGCUCGCUCCCUGCUUCAUCAGUACCAGGACCAGAAUGAAUGAAUGUAAGAAUGAAUGAAUGAAUGGAGUGCAUGAACUCUUUAUACGUGUACACUGCAUUUAAUCACUAAAAAUGAAAGCUAUUUUUCAUUAAAAGAAGGGGUCCUGUU